rnacentral:rRNA from 1 species
UAGAUACCCUGGUAGUCCACGCUGUAAACGAUGGAUACUAGCUGUUUGGCGCAAGCUGAGUGGCUAAGCGAAAGUGAUAAGUAUCCCACCUGGGGAGUACGCACGCAAGUGUGAAACUCAAAGGAAUUGACGGGGGCCCGCACAAGCGGUGGAGCAUGUGGUUUAAUUCGAUGAUACGCGAGGAACCUUACCAAGGUUUAAAUGGAGACUGACAGGUGUAGAGAUACGCCCUUCUUCGGACAGUUUCAAG